CUCAAACUACUGCCAUGGUGGCUAUUUUGGAAUCGCCAUCAACGUUUGAAACGGUCCCGCCAGAGGUGCUGUCGUGGUUGUUAGAAAUUGUCAGUUCGGUGACCGACUUCACCAACAGGUACAUCCUUGGCGCUGUGAUCAUCCUGGGCUUCGGCGGUAACAUUCUCUCCAUAAUCGUAUUCUGGCGAUGCAGACGAAAGGAUCAAGUGACAGUGACCUACCUCGCCCCGCUGGCGGUUGCCGACCUCGCUACCUUGUUCUACGGGGCGUUCUCAUGGAUUGUUAGCGGAAUCUUGGAGAAGACCAAUGGCUUUUUCUUUUUCACGGAAGCUGUCUUCUCAGUGGGACCACAGGUCAUAUGUAAGGCAUUUCGCUAUCAACACCGCGUCUGUUCCUGUAUCUCCUCAUACUUAAUUGUAAUGUUUUCCUGUGAAAGAUGUCUUGGGGUCUGGUUCCCAUUGAAGGUUCACAUCCUUAUGACGAAACGUAGACGCCUGAUUCUGAUGGGUUUAAUGGUAACAUCGGUGCUACUCACAAAUAUUCCUAUUCUAGUAUACUUUCAAGUGCACUUCUGGGCCAAUACCAUGAGCAUCGUCUGUUUCUUCGACGUCCCGGAAUUCACGAAUUUAGAGAAGUACCUGUUGACAGAAGUGAGCUAUAACACUGUACCACAUUCCCUGCCCUGUUUCUUGAUACUGGUGUUAAACAUUCUUAUAAUCGCGGGGGUACGGUCAGCUCGGAGGCAAAUGGCGGGGAAAGCCGUCAUGAACAAGGCCGACAGCAGUAGUUUAAUUAGUCUUCUUCUAGUAAGUUUGCUGUAUAUCAUCACGACUUUACCUUACAUAAUUGUUUGGGGCAUCAGUGGCUACUAUGGCUACCUUGGGGGAGGCUCUGUUGGAUUCUCUACCGAAGAGACGCAAGUUCUUCUCAUGUUGGGGUUCUUCACGACGUCUUUUCUCAUGAUCAACUAUUCCUUCAAUUUUCUUAUUUAUGCACGUUCGUUGAAGAUCUUUCAAGAAGAAUUAAAGUCCAUGUUUGAGAAGAAUCCAAUGUGCCGUCAAAGGACCAGUCGCUGAAGCAUUUUGGCAGGAAUCCAAUAGUCCAAUACUCAGUGCAGUGAAAUAGCCCCAGCGUGAGAAUGAGAAACCAUUUGGAUAAGAUGAUAUUUCAGGGAAGUUCCAUCGUGCGUGUCACGCAGCCUCCGCUAGGGGGACGAUGUUUCAAAUUCUCCGCCAGGCGGCGUUCAUGAAUGUCACAGACGCCACCCCGCACCAACUGCACGCACUAGAGUGCGCUGAAAACGUGUGAAACAAGCGAGGUGUCGAGUACACGAGUAUCCAUGCAACGGAUCUCACACCAUGCCAUCGUCAUACUAUGAUUCACGCUAACUUUUACGCCGAUCAGGGGGAGAUGGGGGUGCGCCGGAGUGUCCAAAAAAAAUCCCAGUUAGAAUGGCGUCAACUGCGAUGUCUAUGAUUCUUCCCUCUUUCAUUAAACAAAGCCAAGAUCGGAGUUCCUCAUUUUGCGAUACCCUGUGCGAAUAUGAAGACAUUGAGCAGCUAUGGUAUAACGUGAUCCACGAUUUGGCAAAGAUGGUCAAGGGAGAUGUAGUAUUGCCUCCUUGCGAUAUCAAUAUCACUGGGAUGAAUAUUUGUAAAGAGAACAUGAAUAGAUGCAUCUACGACGUGCACGUCCUGAUGUGGAGCUUCCAUCUGGACCAAAGUGUCGCCAACCUGCGGCACAUCUCGCAACACUUCUCGGCCAUCGCCGAGGUUGAGUACGACAUGACGACAUGUGACGGACAGCUCUCGACACUUCGGGAAAUAUUCUUCGGAAGUUUAGCUAAAAGGAUCCAUAUUCAUGACAGAUUGCUUCCAUCGUUCACCUGUUGCCAAAGGAUGGCGCCGAAUGUCAUCCCAUCACGUCACUUCCGGGCAGCGAGUGAACUCGACUACAGCAUCAUGGAACGUUUACUCGGUCGCCUUCGGAAGGUUGGAGUAAUCUACGAAACUGGUAAAGCUCAAUCGAAGGAAAUUCCCGAGGAACUCCGGCGGUGUAAAGACAGGGUGACGUUUUCGCUGUGCCCUUUUCUGUGAACUGACGAGGACGGUAUGGUUUCAAGCAGAAAACACACUAAAAGCUCAGACCCCCAACCACUACCGAUAUAUUUCGAGGAGAGCGAUGGGCCUAUGAUAUUUGCGGAAAUAUACGUCACUCGGCAACAUCGAUGGGGGAAGAAUCGAUCUGAAUAGAUAUUAUGCUAUGGAAGUCCAUGUAUCAUGAAGUCGAGUCGUAAAUAAACAAGUUAUAUAUCAAAAGGCGAAUU